rnacentral:rRNA from 1 species
GAUGAACGCUGGCGGCGUGCCUAAUACAUGCAAGUCGAGCGAACGGACGAGAAGCUUGCUUCUCUGAUGUUAGCGGCGGACGGGUGAGUAACACGUGGAUAACCUACCUAUAAGACUGGGAUAACUUCGGGAAACCGGAGCUAAUACCGGAUAAUAUUUUGAACCGCAUGGUUCAAAAGUGAAAGACGGUCUUGCUGUCACUUAUAGAUGGAUCCGCGCUGCAUUAGCUAGUUGGUAAGGUAACGGCUUACCAAGGCAACGAUGCAUAGCCGACCUGAGAGGGUGAUCGGCCACACUGGAACUGAGACACGGUCCAGACUCCUACGGGAGGCAGCAGUAGGGAAUCUUCCGCAAUGGGCGAAAGCCUGACGGAGCAACGCCGCGUGAGUGAUGAAGGUCUUCGGAUCGUAAAACUCUGUUAUUAGGGAAGAACAUAUGUGUAAGUAACUGUGCACGUCUUGACGGUACCUAAUCAGAAAGCCACGGCUAACUACGUGCCAGCAGCCGCGGUAAUACGUAGGUGGCAAGCGUUAUCCGGAAUUAUUGGGCGUAAAGCGCGCGUAGGCGGUUUUUUAAGUCUGAUGUGAAAGCCCACGGCUCAACCGUGGAGGGUCAUUGGAAACUGGAAAACUUGAGUGCAGAAGAGGAAAGUGGAAUUCCAUGUGUAGCGGUGAAAUGCGCAGAGAUAUGGAGGAACACCAGUGGCGAAGGCGACUUUCUGGUCUGUAACUGACGCUGAUGUGCGAAAGCGUGGGGAUCGAACAGGAUUAGAUACCCUGGUAGUCCACGCCGUAAACGAUGAGUGCUAAGUGUUAGGGGGUUUCCGCCCCUUAGUGCUGCAGCUAACGCAUUAAGCACUCCGCCUGGGGAGUACGACCGCAAGGUUGAAACUCAAAGGAAUUGACGGGGACCCGCACAAGCGGUGGAGCAUGUGGUUUAAUUCGAAGCAACGCGAAGAACCUUACCAAAUCUUGACAUCCUUUGACAACUCUAGAGAUAGAGCCUUCCCCUUCGGGGGACAAAGUGACAGGUGGUGCAUGGUUGUCGUCAGCUCGUGUCGUGAGAUGUUGGGUUAAGUCCCGCAACGAGCGCAACCCUUAAGCUUAGUUGCCAUCAUUAAGUUGGGCACUCUAAGUUGACUGCCGGUGACAAACCGGAGGAAGGUGGGGAUGACGUCAAAUCAUCAUGCCCCUUAUGAUUUGGGCUACACACGUGCUACAAUGGACAAUACAAAGGGCAGCGAAACCGCGAGGUCAAGCAAAUCCCAUAAAGUUGUUCUCAGUUCGGAUUGUAGUCUGCAACUCGACUACAAGAAGCUGGAAUCGCUAGUAAUCGUAGAUCAGCAUGCUACGGUGAAUACGUUCCCGGGUCU